rnacentral:rRNA from 1 species
UACAUGGGGUGCAAACGUUGCUCGGAAUUAUUGGGCGUAAAGCGCACGUAGGCGGUUCGUUAAGUCGGAUGUGAAAGCCCUCGGCUCAACUGAGGAAGUGCACCCGAAACUGGCGAGCUUGAGUACGAAAGAGGAUCGCGGAAUUCCCGGUGUAGAGGUGAAAUUCGUAGAUAUCGGGAGGAACACCGGUGGCGAAGGCGGCUCACUGGCUCAUUACUGACGCUCAGGCGCGACAGCGUGGGGAUCAAACAGG